CAUGUACUCCCUCCGUUCCAAAAUUCUUGUCUUGGAUUUGUCUAGAUACUAGACAAGAAUUUUGGGACGGAGGGAGUACAAU
rnacentral:pre_miRNA from 1 species